UUUCCGUAGGUGAACCUGCGGAAGGAUCAUUAAUGAGGGCGUGUGGGCUAAUAUCCCCACGAACCCUAAUCCUUUGUUUACUGUCCCAAUGUGGUUUUUACUUGGGCGCGGUUUGGCUUUUUAUGUGAUGUGCCCAAAAGGCUGCCAUAGUCUCCUCACCUCCCCCCCAAAAAAAAACGAAAACAUAUCAAAAAAAAAAAAAAAAAAUCUAUUAAUAAACUGAUGUGUCUGAAGCAAAUCACUUAAACAAACAAAACUUUCAACAACGGAUCUCUUGGUUCCGGCAUCGAUGAAGAACGCAGCGAAAUGCGAUAAGUAAUGUGGACCGCAGUACUCAGCGACUCAUCGAAUCUUUGAACGCACAUUGCGCCCCUUGGUAUCACCAAAGGGCACACCUGUUCGAGCGUCAUCAUACAUCAAUCAAGUUUUGGGCCCGGCUUGCUCUUGGGCUUUGUCUGCUUUAUGUAGAAGUCUAAAAAUCAGUGGCGGUUAAGUUAGGCAUUCCAGCGUAGUGAUUUUAUUAGCUGAUGAGAUGUCUUUCACAUAACAGUCAACAUAUCUAAAGUUUCUGCUGGCGGAAAUUUUAUCAAUUAUUGACCUCGGAUCAGGUGAGGAUACCCGCUAAAUUUAA
rnacentral:misc_RNA from 1 species